UCCCGCCUCAGCUAGGAAGCGUCAAGUUUUAUCCCAUCAUUCUUUGCGAUGGUGGUCAGUUUGGGUGUUAGUUAUUAUGACAGGUUGACUGCCGGCGGUCUUUGAUUAUAGUUUUUGUCAGUCAGAGUAAAUUUCUGGUGUAGAAAACUUGGAACGGGACACUGUGCAGCGCCGAAUUGUGUCAGCAACACUGCAAAAAUUAACAGGCUACUCAAGAUUCCCUACUAUCUGAAUGACUAAUGGAACUCAAGUUUGCUGACGAAAGUAAUUAAUCUGGUGAAACAAUUGCAGCUACGAUUUCAUAGUUUUUGGUAGAGUGUAAGUGCAUAUGGUUUGUUUAAACUUCACUUUGAGGAUGCACAAUCCGAGAUGAAUAAAGCUAUUAAAAUGUAAUGAAAUUACUACGAUAUUCGAGGGUACAAAUCUGUGCACUUCGAAUCAGAAAUGGCAAAAAUCCAAAACCGAAGCAGACAGUAACGAAGGUGAGCUAUUCGCACCUUGAAUCAGAAAUGACAAAGCCAGGACCAAAGCCGACAAUAAUGAAGAAUUUGUCACAAUUUCCGAAGCUGUGGUUAGAUUGAGAUCUAAUAGUAUAGCUGAAAUUGCUGUGGUGCAAAUGGGGGAAAAAUACGUGAUAACCUCAUUUACAAAGAACAAGAAAUUCUGAAUGAGCAGUGUGACUGACUGUUCACAUCCAAGUGACAAUUCAUCAGGGUCACUUCCCAUCAUUGAUCCUGCGAACCGUUACCAACAGCGGCACACAAUGGAAAAGUGGCAGACGCUAGGGCGCUGUGGCGUUGCUGCGGCCGGCUGCCUGCUGUGUUUGCGGGAGAACAUCGGUUGGGAGGAGGAACUCUGAUUGCAGACGUCUGGGAGUGUACAGGAGGCCACACCGUUUUGUUGAUGGUUUGGCAUGACUCGUGUCAGGUGUGAUGCGUCGUUAAAGCCGUAAUAGCAGACAGUGUUACUAUCUUGGUUGCAGGUGGAUCCAUGGGGAUGAGGCCUUGGUAGUACUAUCCUACGCAUGUCGUCGGACUUUAAAAAAUUGUUUCAGUUUGAAAUAUGUUUUUUCCCCAACACAGUAACAAUUGUCUUUACAGAUGACAAUGGAUGGUCCUCCUGUGCAGCAGUUGAAUCUGAAAUGUCCAUUUGAGAAGGUUGAAACUGGUCAUCUGUAAAGCUAAUUGUAACUGUGCUGGGGAAAAAAGUAUUUUAUGUAUCACGUGCAUCUACAGGGUGUUACAAAAAGGUACGGCCAAACUUUUAGGAAACAUUCCUCACACACAAAUAAAGAAAAGAUGUUAUGUGGACAUGUGUCCGGAAACGCUUAAUUUCAAUGUUAGAGCUCAUUUUAGUUUCGUCAGUAUGUACUGUACUUCCUCGAUUCACCGCCAGUUGGCCCAAUUGAAGGAAGGUAAUGUUGACUUCGGUGCUUGUGUUGACAUGCGACUCAUUGCUCUACAGUACUAGCAUCAAGCACAUUAGUACGUAGCAUCAACAGGUUAGUGUUCAUCACGAACGUGGUUUAGCAGUCAGUGCAAUGUUUACAAAUGCGGAGUUGGCAGAUGCCCAUUUGAUGUAUGGAUUAGCACGGGGCAAUAGCCGUGGCGCGGUACGUUUGUAUCGAGACAGAUAUCCAGAACGAAGGUGUCCCGACAGGAAGAUGUUCGAAGCAAUUGAUCGGCGUCUUAGGGAGCACGGAACAUUCCAGCCUAUGACUCGCGACUGGGAAAGACCUAGAACGACAAGGACACCUGCAGUGGAUGAGGCAAUUCUUCGUGCAGUUGACGAUAACCCUAAUGUCAGCGUCAGAGAAGUUGCUGCUGUACAAGGUAACGUUGACCACAUCACUGUAUGGAGAGUGCUACGGGAGAACCAGUUGUUUCUGUACCAGGCACUAUCAGCAGCUGAUUGGCCUCCACGGGUACACUUCUGCAAACGGUUCAUCCAACAAUGUGUCAAUCCUCAUUUCAGAGCAAAUGUUCUCUUUAUGGAUGAGGCUUCAUUCCAGUGUGAUCAGAUUGUAAAUUUUCACAAUCAACAUGUGUGGGCUGACGAGAAUCCGCACGCAAUUGUGCAGUCACGUCAUCAACACAGAUUUUCUGUGAACGUUUGGGCAGGCAUUGUUGGUGAUGUCUUGAUUGGGCCCCAUGUUCUUCCACCUACACUCAAUGGAGCACGUUAUCAUGAUUUCAUACGGGAUACUCUACCUGUGCUGCUAGAACAUGUGCCUUUAUAAGUACGACACAACAUGUGGUUCAUGCACGAUGGAGCUCCUGCACAUUUCAGUCGAAUUGUUCGUACGCUUCUCAACAACAGGUUCGGUGACCGAUGGAUUGGUAGAGGCGGACCAAUUCCAUGGCCUCCACACUCUGCUGGCCUCAGCCCUCUUGACUUCCAUUUAUGGGGGCAUUUGAAAGCUCUUGUCUACGCAACCCCGGUACCAAAUGUAGAGACUCUUCAUGCUCGUAUUGUGGGCACCUGUGAUACAAUACGCCAUUCUCUAGGGCUGCAUCAGCGCAUCAGGGAUUCCAUGCGACGGAGGGUGGAUGCAUGUAUCCUUGCUAACGGAGGAGAUUUUGAACAUUUCCUGUAACAAAGUAUUUGAAGUCACGCUGGUACGUUCUGUUGCUGUGUGUUUCCAUUCCAUGAUUAAUGUGAUUUGAAGAGAAGUAAUAAAAUGAGGUCUAACAUGGAAAGUAAGCGUUUCCGGACACAUGUCCACAUAACAUAUUUUCUUUCUUUGUGUUUGAGGAAUGUUUCCUGAAGUUUGGCAGUACCUUUUUGUAACACCCUGUAUAAAUGUUGGGGAAAAAAAGUCAUGUUUUAUAAAAUUGUUUUAAAAUUCAGUGUAUACACAACAUGAUUUGUGGAGAAUACGCCAUUUCUUAAUGUAUUUCUGAACAAAUUGUGAUGCUGUGGUAUGAUUUGUAACAUCAGUUGAAGAUCUUAGUUAAGA